GUGCAGCAGGCGAGAAUCUUCCACAAUGGACGAAAGUCUGAUGGAGCGACGCCGCGUGCGGGAUGAAGGCCUUAUGGGUUGUAAACCGCUGUCAGGGGGGAAGAACAUCGGAAUGAACAAUACUCAUUCCGACUGACGUUACCCCCAGAGGAAGCUCCGGCCAACUCCGUGCCAGCAGCCGCGGUAAUACGGGGGGAGCAAGCGUUGUCCGGAAUUAUUGGGCGUAAAGGGCGUGUAGGCGGCGAGGUAAGUCGAAUGUGAAAUCUCACGGCUCAACCGUGAAACUGCGUUCGAAACUACCCCGCUUGAGUACGGGAGAGGUGUACGGAAUUCCUGGUGUAGCGGUGGAAUGCGUAGAUAUCA
rnacentral:rRNA from 1 species